AGUUCCAGCUUCUUGGGAGUGGUGGAACUUAGCUAAAACGCUCGGGCAAUUUCUGAGAAGAAAUGGUGACUUUUUUCUUUGAGUGAAAUAAAGGUGGCGUUUGUCAUGUUACAAACAGUGUGACCCAGAGAAACCGAGGUAACCUGACCAUUGCACUAUGUGACCAAGUUAAGGAUGUCCUUGCUGCAAUUACAUACUCCAACCAGUGUCAUCACGAAGGAAAUGGUCCCCUGACAGCAGAAGAGAGGGUCCCAUCAAACAUGAUCAAAUGUUUUAUUUGCACAUGGAUAUUUUUAUUUUUGUAUUCCGGCUCACCUUCAAGUGAGUUGGGUAAAAAUGAGCCACAGAGGAUUUUUCUAAUAGGUGUUGGCAGUGAAUUUUAUAUUCCUCAAUAUGUAGUUUUGAAAGUCUAGACGAAAGAACGUGCGUCUUGAAAGCUAAGAGAAUGUCGAUCCGAGGGCUGCUCGCGGCAGCGGCUGCAGCGGUGUUGGUGUUGGAAGCAGACACCCUUGUAUCAUGACUUCUCCGAAAAUAGGUUUGCUUUUUCGGUCACAUGCUGUAAAUAAGUUGUAAUCUAAACCUCAUGUAUCGAUGGGGAGUUUUCAAAUAUAAAUAUUACCAAUAAACUUCCUGUUGUCGUCCUAUUUUUGCUUGUAGUAUUGAGAAUGACAUGUCCAUUGCUUUCAUUUCAGGAUUAGCUCUAGCUUUUGAGGACCCCGAUGGUUUAGUGUUCCAUUGUUUCAGCAGGAGAGGGCAGUAGAAGUUCAUUUCUUUUUAGGCAUUAGGUUUUGGUUCUCUUUUUUUUUUAACGGCAUCUAUCUGUGGGUAGAAAUCAGAGAAAACAUUUUUGAUAAGAAAAGUGGCCUAUGAAAAUCUUAACUGGUCUGACCAGAUAAGAAAGUCUUACGAUCCACAUCAAAGACAAAGGAAAACAUGCUGCUUUUAAAACAAGGACAUUCAAGUGGCUUCUGAAACCCUCGGGAUUCCAAAUGUCAUUCUGUGGAAGUGGUUUCCUUUCUGAAAAGUGAUGCGGAGAGAAGGAGCGGUGCCCUCGAUGGAAGUGUAACUUUCCCUCCUGACCCGUGUGUGAGAGACAGGCUUCUGUACUGUGGGUGCAUCUCAAUAAAGAAGCAGUGAAGAGUCUCCCUGACCUGUGGCUUUUCUUUCCCCAUCCGGCCAGCUUAUGCCUUC
rnacentral:lncRNA from 1 species